rnacentral:rRNA from 1 species
CACAAGCGGUGGAGCAUGUGGUUUAAUCAGAUGCAACGCGAAGAACCUUCCCUGUCCUUGACAUCCUAAGAACUUUCCAGAGAUGGAUUGGUGCCUUCGGGAACUUAGAUACAGGUGCUGCAUGGCUGUCGUCAGCUCGUGUCGUGAGAUGUUGGGUUAAGUCCCGCAACGAGCGCAACCCUUUUCCUUAUUUGCCAGCGGGUAAUCCCGGGAACUUUAAGGAUACUACCAGUGACAAACUGGAGGAAGGCGGGGAUGACGUCAAGUCAUCAUGGCCCUUACGGCCAGGGCUACACACGUGCUACAAUGGUCGGUACAAAGGGUUGCUACCUCGCGAGAGGAUGCUAAUCUCAAAAAGCCGAUUGUAGUCCGGAUCGCAGUCUGCAACUCGACUGCGUGAAGUCGGAAUCGCUAGUAAUCGCGGAUCAGAAUGCCGCGGUGAAUACGUUCCCGGGCCUUGUACACACCGCCCGUCACACCAUGGGAGUUUGUUGCACCAGAAGUAGGUAGUCUAACCGCAAGGAGGAC